UACGGAGGGUGCGAGCGUUAUCCGGAAUUACUGGGUUUAAAGGGUGCGUAGGCGGCCCUGUAAGUCAGGAGUGAAAGUUUGCGGCUCAACCGUAAAAUUGCUUUUGAUACUGCGGGGCUAGAAUUAGGAUGAGGUCAGCGGAAUGUGGCAUGUAGCGGUGAAAUGCAUAGAUAUGCCAUAGAACACCAAUUGCGAAGGCAGCUGGCUAGACCUGGAUUGACGCUGAGGCACGAAAGCGUGGGGAGCGAACAGG
rnacentral:rRNA from 1 species